rnacentral:rRNA from 1 species
GAAGUGCGAAUGCUGACAUGAGUAACGAUAAGGGGGGUGAAAAACCUCCCCGCCGGAAGAUCAAGGUUUCCUGCGCAACGCUAAUCGGCGCAGGGUAAGUCGGCCCCUAAGGCGAGGGCGAAAGCCGUAGUCGAUGGGAAGCAGGUUAACAUUCCUGCACUUCUUUUUAUUGCGAUGGAGGGACGGAGAAGGCUAGGCCAGCAGGGCGAUGGUUGUCCCUGUUUAAGGUGGUAGGCUGAAUUCUUAGGUAAAUCCGGGAGUUCAUUAAGGCCGAGAGCUGAUGACGAGUGCCCUAGGGUGCGAAGUGGUUGAUGCCAUGCUUCCAAGAAAAGCUUCUAAGCUUCAGAUAAAAAGGAACCGUACUGUAAACCGACACAGGUGAUCAGGUAGAGAAUACCAAGGCGCUUGAGAGAACUCGGGUGAAGGAACUAGGCAAAAUGGUACCGUAACUUCGGGAGAAGGUACGCCGGCUUUGGUGAUGGGACUUGCUCCCUAAGCUGAGGCCGGCCGAAGUGACCAGUUGGCUGCGACUGUUUAUUAAAAACACAGCACUCUGCAAACACGAAAGUGGACGUAUAGGGUGUGACGCCUGCCCGGUGCCGGAAGGUUAAUUGAUGGGGUUAUCUUCGGAGAAGCUCUUGAUCGAAGCCCCGGUAAACGGCGGCCGUAACUAUAACGGUCCUAAGGUAGCGAAAUUCCUUGUCGGGUAAGUUCCGACCUGCACGAAUGGCGUAACGAUGGCCACACUGUCUCCACCCGAGACUCAGUGAAAUUGAAAUCGCUGUUAAGAUGCAGUGUACCCGCGGCUAGACGGAAAGACCCCGUGAACCUUUACUAUAGCUUCACAUUGGACUUUGACCUUAUUUGUGUAGAAUAGCUGGGAGGCUUUGAAGCAAUGGCGCUAGCUGUUGUGGAGCCACCUUUGAAAUACCAGCCUGAUAAUGUUGAGGUUCUAACCUAGGCCCGUAAUCCGGGUCGGGGACAAUGUGUGGUGGGUAGUUUGACUGGGGCGGUCUCCUCCUAAAGAGUAACGGAGGAGCACGAAGGUGCGCUAAUCACGGUCGGAAAUCGUGAGGUUAGUGUAAAGGCACAAGCGCGCUUGACUGCGAGUCUGACAAGACGAGCAGGUACGAAAGUAGGUCUUAGUGAUCCGGUGGUUCUGUAUGGAAGGGCCA